rnacentral:rRNA from 1 species
AGGAUUCGUCCAAGUGAAAUAGAGGACAGUGGCGGACGGGUGAGUAACGCGUGAGGAACCUGCCUUUCAGAGGGGGAUAACAGUUGGAAACGACUGCUAAUACCGCAUAAGCGCACAGCUUCGCAUGAAGCAGUGUGAAAAACUCCGGUGGUACAAGAUGGACCCGCGUCUGAUUAGCUGGUUGGUGAGGUAACGGCCUACCAAAGCGACGAUCAGUAGCCGACCUGAGAGGGCGGACGGCCACAUUGGGACUGAGACACGGCCCAAACUCC